rnacentral:rRNA from 1 species
AUGCCGUGCCCGCUGUGCGGCGACGAGAUUGAGACCAAUGUUUCCAGGUCGGGCUCACAGGCCAGUCAGCAUUUCUACAAGUGGAUUCGUUACGAUGCUCGUCAAUGUCGUUUCUUCGAGUUCCAGUGGAUGAAGCUGGCGUACGAAAUAGUGAGCAUGAAGGGCAACAAAGGGGACAUACCAGAGUUCCUAUACGGCGUGAUCAUCGACUAA